rnacentral:RNase_P_RNA from 1 species
AAAGCAGUCCAGGUGGUCGCGUGGGGCUAUUGCCCCAUGAGGAAAGUCCGAACUCCACAGGGCAGGACGCUCCGUAACGCGGAGGAGGGGCGACCCUACGGAAAGUGUCACAGAAAAUACACGGCCGAUGGUCCGUCCGGCAACAGCCGGCCGGAUACAGGCAAAGGUGAAAUGGUGAGGUAAGAGCUCACCUUUCCGGCAGAGAUGUCGGGAGUACGAUAAACCCCGUCCGGAGCAAGACCAAAUAUGUUUCGCCUAUCCGGCGACAGCCGGGUAGCAGGGUUGCCCGUCCUGUAUCUUCCUUUCGGAGGAUGGCGAAAUGGGUAGGUUGCUUGACCCUGUCAGCAAUGACAGGGCUAGAUAAAUGACCACCUCUCCGGCUUUUGCCGGAAAGACAGAAUUCGGCUUAUCGGACUGCUUUGGAU